rnacentral:lncRNA from 10 species
AUUUUUGCCACCAAACACUUAUGUUCACACCAUUUUUAAAGCAGUUUUAAAUCCUUGGGCAAUUGGUCAAAUGCUUCUUCUGGCUAUUUUCUUGUUCUGAAAGUCAGAAGUUUGAAGAGGGUUUUAGGGAUUCGAAUUAAGGUGUCAGCAGACCUGUGCUUCUCUGGAAGGCUCUACGGGAGAGAUUUACCUUCUCCAGCUUCCAGUGGCUGGCUGCCCACACACCUUGGCUCGUGGCCACCUCCUCACGUCAGUCCAGCCUCUGCCACCAUCGUCAACUCUCCCACUAUGACUGAGACCUUCUGCCUGUCUCAGCACAUGAGUUUCAGGCUCUCUACCGUUCAUGCCCAUGACACCAGGAGCAGCACCCUGGAGCAGACACAGCCAGACCACAAACCCAGCUCAAGGUUAAUCACUGCUGCCCGUCAAUGUGAUUAUCUCCCUCUGCAUGGCAGUGCCAUUUUCCCACUGUGGGACCAGAGUAUGUGCUGUCAUACACAACAGUAAACACUGGAUGCUGUUAAUUCAUGGCUGCCUGGCGUGCUCGCACACACACACACACACACACACACACACACACACACAGACACACACACAGGCAUCAAUGCCUUUCUUUGUAAAAUAC